AUUGAACGCUGGCGGCAGGCCUAACACAUGCAAGUCGAGCGGAGUGGCGGACGGGUGAGUAAUGCCUAGGAAUAUGCCUGGUAGUGGGGGAUAACGUCCGGAAAUGGGCGCGAAUAACGCAUACUAUCCGAUGAGCCUAGGUCGGAUUAGCUAGUUGGUGGGGUAAAGGCCUACCAAGGCGACGAGCCGGAACUGGUCUGAGAGGAUGAUCAGUCAAACUGGAAAGGAGACACGGUCCAGAUGCCUACGGGAGGCAGCAGGGGGGAAGAUUGGACAUUGGGCGAAAUCCUGAUCCAGGCAUGCCGCGUGUGUGAAGAAGGUCUCCGGAUUGUAAAGCACUUUAAGUUGGGAGGCGUUACCAACAGAAUAAGCACCGGCUAACUGCGUGCCAGCAGCCGCGGUAAUAC
rnacentral:rRNA from 1 species